GUCCUUUCUAAAAUUCAUAUAUUUUGGAUGAUGUCUAAAACAAAAACAUAUUUCAAAGUUCCAAUGAACUUCUGACCUGUUUUCCAACAAUCAUAACUAUUUUUAUAUGUCCAAUACUUUUAUGCUGCCUGGGUAAUAAAUCAAGCGUAAACAGAUCUGGAAAGGUCAAACUCGUCAAUGCGCCUCUAUCAUGUCUAUCGUUCAAGAAACAAACAGUACCAAGAACUGACUCAAACUUGCUGUGAUUAUUUGUCCCAUUGUUGAAGGCCAUAUGAAGUUUUGAUUUUGAGAUGAGGUUCAUCAAUAAAAGUGCUGGAUGUUUGGUUUUUAAGCAAAAUGCAUGAUUUUGUGUCCACAAUUUUUUUUUAUUUUCUAGAGGAAAAAGUACCAUGGAAACUCCCUGUAUACUCCGACAACCAGCUGUAUGAUUAAUAAACAAACGAUAAAGACUUCCGUUUCCAUAUUUAUUACUUUUUAACGAUACAAAAUGUAAAAGUUAAUAAAUAAAAAAGUAAUAUUAAAAAAUCUUUAAAUUAAGGCCAUCGAAGUGUUUGUGUAAAUUGUUCUGAAUAAUUCAAGUUCUGUAUACAAAUAUCUGUGUGUAUAUACAACAUUACAUUUUAGACAAAAAAGCACUACUCCAAUAAAGUUCCAUUUUAUGCAAAAGGGAGAAGUGUUAGUUGCAUGCACCGGAUUCCCACACAACGGUACAUGUGUGAUUAAUUUAUUGUUGGUUGCAAAAUGUGCAGUGGAAAAUAUUUCAGUAUGUAUGAUAAAAGUCUUUUUUAUGUCUAUUUUAAUUUACCCUUACACUUAUCCCAAAAGGCAAACAAGGAACCACGAUUUAUCUUUUUUAAAUCAAAUAUAGAUAUUAAAAACACAUUUAGAAGACACAUUUCAAUGCAACAACUUCUCCCCCUUCCCUCUUCCAUGCUGUGACCAUCUUAAAAUUCAUCAAAUGACUGCUCCCCACGGUUAACAAACAUGAUAAACAUUAAAAUAAAAAAUCAUAUGACAUCAUGAAACAUUAUAAAAAGACAACAGAGAUCUCAUACAUGUAGGCUAUAAACGUUUAACGAAAUAAAUUGAACAUUUUC
rnacentral:lncRNA from 1 species